UGGGGAAUAUUGCACAAUGGGGGAAACCCUGAUGCAGCCAUGCCGCGUGUGUGAAGAAGGCCUUAGGGUUGUAAAGCACUUUCAGUGGGGAGGAAAGGGUGGAAGCUAAUACCUUUCAUCUGUGACGUUACCCACAGAAGAAGCACCGGCUAACUCCGUGCCAGCAGCCGCGGUAAUACGGAGGGUGCAAGCGUUAAUCGGAAUAACUGGGCGUAAAGCGCACGCAGGCGGUCGGAUAAGUCAGAUGUGAAAGCCCCGGGCUCAACCUGGGAACUGCAUUUGAAACUGUCUGACUAGAGUCUUGUAGAGGGGGGUAGAAUUCCAGGUGUAGCGGUGAAAUGCGUAGAGAUCUGGAGGAAUACCGGUGGCGAAGGCGGCCCCCUGGACAAAGACUGACGCUCAGGUGCGAAAGCGUGGGGAGCAAACA
rnacentral:rRNA from 1 species